AUGCGGCAGCAGUGGUGGCGUUGAGGCAACGGUGGGCAAGUGCGGCGCGGAGAGAAUGAAGUCGACGCAGGAGGCCGGUUACAACAAGCACGAGCCGCUUGUGGUCGGCAAGGCCAAGGGCCAUGAUGUUGGCCACGGGUACAAGGUCGAGAACCUGCGCUACUACGGCGAGCUCAAGGGCUACGCCGAUUUCAAGUCUUAUGGUACCGUGGACAAGCAACCGGCGGCGGUGCUGGUGUCCGCUCACGAGAAGUCACAUCUUCUCCACGCGCCCUCGUGUGACAAGGGUGACAAGUGUCACGGCAAGGUCCCGACCGCGUCGGCGAUCGCGCAGGGUUACGCUCUCGCCAAGGUCGGCCAGCAGCAGCCGGAGAAGGCCCACCACAGCGAUCACUAUUAUCAUCGAUCGUCGCACUCGAAGCCGCCGAACGCCUACCAGGUGUAUCAGGAGACCAAGUAUUCGUACAACGUGAGCGGGGUGCCUGGGACGCCGGCGCAGGCCAGCGCAGCCGCAGCCUUCUUCGCAAGGGCAGCGCAGAAGCUGAAUCUGUCGUCGAGCCCGCACCGGAGACGACGUUCCGGGGACGAGAACAUCGGACCUGACGAGCUGCCCAUUUUUCCCAAUGGAUACGCCGCGCUCCUUCUCAAGUCGCCACCUCCGGCACCCCCCGCGCUUCUCAGGAGGAUAGGCGUAAAAGAACUCACCGGGGUCGGCAAGGUGAAAGUCAUGCUGAGAGUGUCAUCCGGAGAUGGAGGGAGCUUCUUCAAUGCGGACAAACGGAAAAAGCAAGUCACCUUAGUGGACCCAGCUUCUGGACAAUCCUCAUCGGCAGAGGAUCGCAGACCCACUGUAGCGGCGCCGAAGAUGUUCGCGUUCGAUGCCAUCUUCACCGAGGAGGACUCCCAAACUGAGAUCUGCUCGAGCGCUCUCACGGACGUGAUUCACGCCGUCAUCAAUGGAACGGACGGUUGCCUCUUUUGCUUCGGACACGCUGGUUUGGGCAAGUCUCACACCAUGCUGGGGACUCCGGAAGCCGGUCACACACUAGGCGCGAUCCCUUGCGCCAUAGCAUGGCUUUUCCGCGGCAUUUCCGAGCAACGGCAGAGAACCGGCGCCAGGUUCAGCGUCAGGGUCAGCUGCGUGGAAUUGACCACCGGCCAGCAACAACUGAGGGACUUGCUUGCGGCGCACGCGAACGACUCGGAGCAGUCGCCGGCCGUGUACCUCAGAGACGACCCGCUGUUUGGCACCCUUCAAUUGCAGCAGCACAGCGAGCUGCGCGCGCCGACAGCCGAACGUGCGGCUUUCUACCUUGACGCGGCGGUCGCCGGUCGUCAACGGGAAGACGGCGACGCGCACAUGCUCUACACGUUGCACGUGUACCAGUACAGCGUCGCCGGCAAAGGUGGAGUCGCCGGUGGCAGGAGUCGGCUGCACCUGAUGGACCUGGGGAACUCCGAUCGCGGCAAGUCCUCGGGCGGGAUUCCCCUCUCGGGCCUGGGCAACAUUCUUCUCGCGAUCUUCAACGGCCAGAAGCACUUGCCGUACAAGGAACACAAGCUCACGCAACUACUCAAGGAGUGCCUCGGCUCAUUGACCUGCCACGCCGCCAUGAUAGCCCACGUGUCCCCCAACGCCCAGCACUACACCGAGACAUUGACCACCGUUCAGCUGGCCUCGAGGAUCCACCGGAUGCGCCGGCGGAAGAUCAAGUUCGUCGGCGGUGGCACUCAGGGCACCGGCAGCGGCGGCAGUUCCGGCGAGGAGGCGGCCCGGCAGAACAGCGAGUGCGACCCGAGCUCGAGCGACCUGUCGGCCGACACGGUGAUCUACGUCGGGCCGAGCGCGGACGACGCCACUGACGGCGAGCACCCGCCCGUCUACAUACCCAGCUUGAACUCGGGCGACAAUCGCUGCGCCAUGGGCAGGGUGCUGCGCGGCUCCGCCGCCGAGAGACCGAGCAAGAUCCCGGAGGAGCGCAGCCCGGCGCACAAGUCCUCGAAGACGGUGAAGACGCUGACGCAGACCGCGUCGAAGCAGACCUCGCCGGCGCACAGCGCCACGCCGAAGGCCAGCCCGGCCAGGAAGAACUCCUCGUCGAAGACGAGCGCCUCGGCGUCCAAGGUCGGCGACUCGCCGAACAGCAAGAUCCCGGUGGCAGCGCCGAGCGGCGGCUCCGACGAGCAGUGGAUCGACGGACCAAGGAUCUCCAAGUCGAAAGUCGCCGAGGCCAGACACAUGCUGAAGGAUCCCCAUCAUAAGCGCGAGACAUGGAUCGACGGGCCGAUGCAGCUGACGGGCGCGGCCCCGCUGCAGCUGCACGCUCAUCAGCACUCGUCCUCCGGUUACGGCUUCAUGGACAGCCACAAGAAGAGCAUGAUCAGGAAGUGGGUGGAGAAUCAGUCGUCGCAAAUACAGAGGGCGAAGCACGCCGCAUCGCGAGCCGAAGCCUCCAAGAUGUCCUCCGGCCAGUCGUCCGGCCAGUUCAAGGAACUCACGACCUUCAAAACCUGCGGCGGCAUGGACGACGACGACACGUCCUUGUCGACCGCGGAGAGCGACAGCCUCAAGGCGAACGAGAUCGAGGACAUCACGGAGAAGCUGAGCGCCAAACUGAAUCUGCUUAACGUCAAGUCCAACACGGACUCGGGAUUGGAUCUGACGGCCAGCCCGGUGAUGGACGACAGCAUCGAGAAGGCGAAGCUCGAUCUGCCGGACGACGAAGAUGACGACGAGGAAAUCGUCGUGCCGCCGCCGUUGCCGCUCAUCGAGCCGCUUAGCAACGGAGUCAGCAGAGAGGUCUCUAUGGAGAGCCUGAAUCUGUCGCACAAGGACAUCGUGCUGCCUUCCAGGCACUCGUUGUCCUCCGAAGACGAGAUCCUGGAGAUCGUCGAGGUGGAGGACUUGGAACCCGUGCCCAUGCAGGACUCGUGUCUACAGGUGACCGAGGAGGACAUCGCGCUCUGCAUGGGCGAGAAUCCUCUGCCCGAAAGCGAUCAGGAGGAACAUCCUUUGAGGAUCCUUAGCCAAGAGAAUCUCACCGUGGUGUCCACCUUCACCGACUCCAUGUCGGUGAUGUCGGACACGGAGAGAUACAGACCGCACUACCCGCCGCCGGUUAGCGCGGGUGUCUUGCCAAGGCCGUACUUUGACCACGAGGACUUUCUGGAGCAGGAGACCAGGCACAAGUUCGACCAGUUGGCCCGCCUGCACGAGCUUUACCAGAGCAAACUCGCGCUCGCCAAUGUUUCCAACUCCGUGACUUAUCAGAGGGAGAACUCUUCCACCGUCAACGUGCGAGACGCUCCAUCAGCGACCGUCUUCCGUCCGCCGUCUCGGUGUCAGUCCUUGUCCCUUUCGGAUGUGUUAUUCAACGACAACGCGAGCAAUCACGGCAGCAUCUACAGCGAACCCGCGUACAUAGCUGGCAAGUCCGAUCAGGAGAAGAUCUGCGAUAAUUGCCGUCAGAGUAUGUCUAGGCCGGCCACGGCCUCUUACUGGUAUCCGAGCAGCGUCGCCCACCUCGCCAGCCCCAGGAGGUACUGCGGCAAGUUGGGCGACUGCAACAUCUCCAGUCUCAGGCACCCGGAUGGCGCUUCGAACCCCAAUCUCAAGGAGGAGAUCGAGAGGAUACCCGGAAACGGAGCGUCCGGCUCGGAUCCUGAAGAGGAGUACAUCGAGGCGAAGAAGCUGUUCACAGCUGCUGAGAGGUCCGAAAGAACGGUUACGGGAAAGUCCGACAUUGAGGAAGAUUUGAAGAUUCAAGGCGCAGCGCCUUUGCAACUGCCCAUGCCGUCUCCGGCGCCGUCCUCCGGACGAAUGCAGCGCAAGAUACUCAGCCUCGGCUCCUCUUUCGGCCUGAACAAGGAAGGCUCCGAUUCCGGCGCGGACUCGACCCCGCGCGCGGCCAAACUGUCACCGGCUACGCUGUCCAGACAUCGCGCCGAGAGCUCCGGUUACGACAGUAUCGUCAGGGACAGCGAGACGAGCAGCAUUGCCAGCGAUUCGUCCCGACAAACUGGCGCGUUGCAGGAGCAUCAAGGUGGCGCGCUGGGAGUUCUAACUUCGACGUUGUGCGGGUGUUUCAGCGGUGGAACGGCGGGCGGCAGGGUACGGGCCACGGCGGUCGCGGGCCCACUGCCGGGCCCAGCCGGGGCCGCCCGCGGCGGCGGGGAUUCUCGCAUACACAGGCGAGGACGUGGACAUCCUGGACAGGCGCGCGCGGCUGCGCUCGGAUCCACGUGGCACGAUGUCCAGGAUACACAGCCUUCGCCUGCGCCAGCGCCUUCUUAGGCUGGAACUGCGCGACGCUAAAAGGCGCCUAAUGGUGCCCGACACUCGCUGGAGUUACGAUCUGCACGUGGAGGACAGUAUGGACUGGCGGGAUCCGUCAUUCUUAGAAGCUCUGACGGCCGAGACGUGCAUCCUGCAAAAGAGGGUGGAGGCCUGUAAGAGCCACGUUCUUCUGGUCACCUGCUUCGACUCCUGCCCUCAGCAACAGUACGUUCGGCAUGCCGUGACAUCGGCUGAAAUAAAAAGCACC
rnacentral:misc_RNA from 1 species